rnacentral:rRNA from 1 species
UACGAAGGGGGCUAGCGUUGCUCGGAAUCACUGGGCGUAAAGGGUGCGUAGGCGGGUCUUUAAGUCAGGGGUGAAAUCCUGGAGCUCAACUCCAGAACUGCCUUUGAUACUGAGGAUCUUGAGUUCGGGAGAGGUGAGUGGAACUGCGAGUGUAGAGGUGAAAUUCGUAGAUAUUCGGAAGAACACCAGUGGCGAAGGCGGCUCACUGGCCCGGUACUGACGCUGAGGUGCGAAAGCGUGGGGAGCAACAGG